UACGGAGGGUGCAAGCGUUAUCCGGAUUUACUGGGUUUAAAGGGUGCGUAGGUGGGUCUGUAAGUCAGUGGUGAAAUCUCCGGGCUUAACCCGGAAACUGCCAUUGAUACUAUAGGUCUUGAAUAUCCUGGAGGUGAGCGGAAUAUGUCAUGUAGCGGUGAAAUGCUUAGAUAUGACAUAGAACACCAAUUGCGAAGGCAGCUCACUAAGCAAAUAUUGACGCUGAGGCACGAAAGCGUGGGGAUCAAACAGG
rnacentral:rRNA from 1 species